AGAGUCGGCGAUGAGGACACAUCUGAAGCCAAAGACGCUCGUUCAGAGACGAACUGCCACGAUAGAGCCUCGUGCUCCUUACUGAAACCGAGGAAAAUAAUUUCUUUAGAGCAGAAAUACUACUUGAAUCAUCCCCACAUCUGAAACACAAAAGAGCCGAGACUGUGAAGUGAUGUAAUGAACCAGCUCAGCAUGCACCGCGUCAUCCACCCGAUAGCCGUUGACGCUAACCACCUGGUCGCCGACCUGCAGUUAUUAACGAUUACAUUUAAUAGUUAAAGUUA